UACGUAGGCAGCGAGCGUUGUUCGGAGUUACUGGGCGUAAAGGGUGCGUAGGCGGUUGUUUAAGUUUGGUGUGAAAUCUCCCGGCUCAACUGGGAGGGUGCGCCGAAUACUGAAUGACUGGAGUGCGGGAGAGGAGAGUGGAAUUCCUGGUGUAGCGGUGAAAUGCGUAGAUAUCAGGAGGAACACCGGUGGUGUAGACGGCUCUCUGGACCGUAACUGACGCUGAGGCACGAAAGCGUGGGUAGCAAACAGG
rnacentral:rRNA from 1 species